rnacentral:ncRNA from 1 species
GAAAGCUGUAUACGGGAGAACCGUACGUGCAGUUUGACGAGGGGUCCCAGCUGAAAAGGCUGGUCCUACUCUAU